CACAGCUACUUUGCUGCUUUUGAGCCCACAGGAAAGUCAGUAGGUCUGGGCUACACCCCUGUAAGGACCAGUCGUGUCAGACUGGCUGUAGGUUCACCUGGGCUCAGGGGUGCAGGUUUGUGACCGAAAAGGAGGAUGUGGAGAGCACAAACUGCCACCACUCCGCAUGACUCCGCACCCGACUCCACACUGCCCCGGGAGGCUGCUCGGACUGCUAUGACCAGGUGAGGCUGCGCUCUCGCGCUCAGCCGGGUGGACCCAGAAGCUCGUGAUGCACCUCAGCACCCACAGGACAACGUGAAGCCUCCACCCCCACUGCUUGCCCAGGGCUGAGGCCAAGGGAGAGCCAGGGCUGGCCGCUGAAGGGUAUUGCACCACAAGAGGCUCACUGAAGAUCUGCUAACUGACCACUCCUCUGCAGCACGGGUCCAUCUUCCCCCUGACCUUCUGCUAACUGACCACUCCUCUGCACCAUGGGUCCAUCUUCCCCCUGAGCUUCUGCUAACUGACUACCCUCUGCAGCAUGGGUCCAUCAUCCCCCUGACCCUCUGCUAACUGACUACCCUCUGCAGCAUGGGUCCAUCAUCCCCUGACCUUCUGCUA